rnacentral:rRNA from 1 species
GACGAACGCUGGCGGCGUGCUUAACACAUGCAAGUCGAACGGAAAGGCCCUGCUUUUGUGGGGUGCUCGAGUGGCGAACGGGUGUGUAACACGUGUGUAACCUGCCCUUGACUUUGGGAUAACUUCGGGAAACUGGGGCUAAUACCGGAUAGGAGCUCCUGCUGCAUGGGGGGGGGUGGAGAGUUUGGGGGGUUGGGGAUGGACUCGCGGCUUAUCAGCUUGUUGGUGGGGUAGUGGCUUACCAAGGCUUUGAGGGGUAGCCGGCCUGAGAGGGUGACCGGCCACAUUGGGACUGAGAUACGGCCCAGACUCCUACGGGAGGCAGCAGUGGGGAAUAUUGCCCAAGGGGCGGAAGCCUGAUGCAGCAACGCCGCGUGCGGGAUGACGGCCUUCGGGUUGUAAACCGCUUUCGCCUGGGCCGAAGUGUGAGUGACGGUAAUGGGUAAAGAAGCACCGGCUAACUACGUG